CCUACGGGAGGCAGCAGUGGGGAAUAUUGGGCAAUGGGCGCAAGCCUGACCCAGCAACGCCGCGUGAAGGAAGAAGGCUUUCGGGUUGUAAACUUCUUUUGUCAAGGGACAAAAUCAGGCUCGAGAGCCUGACCGAGGGUACUUGAAGAAAAGGCAUCGGCUAACUCCGUGCCAGCAGCCGAGGUAAUACGGAGGAUGCGAUCGUUAUCCGGAGUUAGUGGGUUUAAAGGGUGCUUAGGCGGGCUGUUAAGGCAGCGGUAAAAGCCCGGGGCUAAACCCCGGCGAGCCGUUGAAACUGGCUGUCUUGAGAUGUCGUGAGGUAUGCGGAAUGCGCAGUGUAGCGGUGAAAUGCUUAGAUAUUGCGCAGAACUCCGAUUGCGAAGGCAGCAUACCGGCGGCGAUCUGACGCUGAGGCACGAAAGCGUGGGGAGCAAACAGGAUUAGAUACCCCUGUAGUC
rnacentral:rRNA from 1 species